CUUUCUUAAUUCUGCAAUCAGGAUCACCAGGAUCUUUGAGAAAGUGCGAGGAGCCGUACUGAGGCCAAAGGGAAGGGCUCGGAACUGGAAGUGCCCUCCUUCAACUGCCAAUCUCAGAUAUCUUUGAUGCAGUUGAGCGAUCGGAACAUGGAAGUAGGCAUCUUUCAGAUCUACAGACAUCAGCCAUUGCCCUGGGAAGACUGCUUUGAUGAUGGACUGAAGCGAC